UACGUAGGGUGCAAGCGUUAAUCGGAAUUACUGGGCGUAAAGCGUGCGCAGGCGGUGAUGUAAGACAGGUGUGAAAUCCCCGGGCUUAACCUGGGAAUGGCAUUUGUGACUGCACGGCUAGAGUGUGUCAGAGGGGGGUAGAAUUCCACGUGUAGCAGUGAAAUGCGUAGAGAUGUGGAGGAAUACCGAUGGCGAAGGCAGCCCCCUGGGAUAACACUGACGCUCAUGCACGAAAGCGUGGGGAGCAAACAGG
rnacentral:rRNA from 1 species